CGUGCUCACGCGCCGAAUCCCGCAAGGGAACCGGGGAACCACCACCCUGGGGUGAAUCGCACGGAAACCGUCGUGGCAGUCCGCACGACCGGUUUACGCGCGUAGGAGACCUUCCUGCUCCGAACCCGUCAGCUAACCCGGUAGGCGAGGAGGAAGGAAGGA
rfam:Streptomyces scabiei 87.22 complete genome